CAUCUCUCAAAGCUUGAAAACUUUAGAAAGGACAAAAAGUAACUUAAUAACUUUUUAGCAUUUUAGAAAUGCUAUAUUGGACCAAGUGUUGACCUUCCCUUUCUUUUAUCAUAUCCGGGCUAAGAGAAAUAUUUCUAGCAGUGGUUAAGAUAUUGCAAUUGUCAAACAGUGUCCAGAAUCCAUAGCAAUGAGUAGCCAGUGCAAAUGAUAAAUGAAAUUUUUAUCCAAGCUGUGUGAUUCACAACUCUCAAUAGUCAGCAAAGCUGGAGUUCCCUCAUGUUGUAUCUCAGAGCUGUAAAACAUGGUCUUGUCUGACUGUUGUGCCAAUUCUGAUACAUAUAUUUAUCUAGCACUACUUGCUUCUUGUCUUCAUCACCAUUGUCCCUCUGACUAUGUGAAUUUUCAGCCCACUGAGCUUGACUGAGCUGCAUUUUUGGAGUGAGUUUCUUCUAAGAUACCUGCAACUUGCUCCUCUUGCUUGAGCAUCCUAGAAAUGUUGGGGACUUCUUGACUUUAGGAGAUUUACAACUGAGCACUCAGAGCAUCUGAUUCUGAUUUUCCCCACUGACGAGACCCCCGAUACUGAACUUAUUCUUGUGCAAAAGGUGCAAUAAGGACACCUUUCUUCGCUGAAGGAAGCUGAAGUGAGUGUUGAUGGAAAUACUGCUGAUAAAAAUGUGUAUUGAAAAUAGACAAGCGGAUGUUAAGUACAAAAAAGAAGAUACUUGGAUUUGAUGGCUGAGCAUGAAUGGCUGCAUACAGAUACAAAAGACAAGACAGAUAAGAGAAAACAAGAAGAAAAAACACUGUGAAAAAAUAACAACUUACAGUACACAAAGCAUCCUCUGCUUUCUUGAAGACAAUGUACCAUAUCAUGGUGGGGAUGAAAAAAAAAAAAAAAGCAGAUUUCUUUGGACAGCAAUCAUCCAUCAGCUUCUGAGAAAGAACGGUCCAACUAGACAAGAGAACAAAGAAAAGUGGUCCCUGGGAUAAGUGAUCUUUUCCAAAGAGAAUUGACAUCUAUAGUGUUACCCCAGGCAUGUCCAACCUGUGGCGUAGCAGAGCUCACACUGCAACUGCCCCCUACUCUGCACUGUAAAGGGAGAAGUUCUUUCCCACCGAGCAGCCCAGCCUGGCCCUGGACAUACACUCAUUGUUCAUGAUCUUCUCAUACCCUGGUAAGGAAAAGCAGCAAAAACAGAAGUCUUGCAAAUGCCUACAGCCAUGGUGACAAACUUAUGAAAACUAUCCAGAAAAGGAGAACAGAAAAUUCUUUGGCAACUCUCAUCAUUACAGUUCUAGUCUGCAUUAAACACCGCAUAUUUUUGGAUAUAUGGAAGAGAGAAAGGUAGUAGCAGCUGAAAUGGUCAAAGCAGACCUCUGAGGAGAUGAUACUCAUCACAUGUCACUAUGACCUACAUCUUUGUCAACGCUGGAGAAAUGCGUUUACAAUUUUGCUAUGUGGAAUGUACAUUGAGAUGAAGAGAUAAAUGAGGAUGUAUUUAUGACAGUUUCUAACCUUUCUACUUUUCCAGACACAGAAAAGCAAUGUGAAUGCACCAUUUCAAUAAUCCCACAGUGUUCACAGAUUCAAUCAUUUGUAAAGUAUGAGUUGUGUAGCAGACAACCACCACUUCGGCACGUCACAUGGCUCACUGGCUACAGACAGCUGCUUUCCCUGUGUGUUUUCAAUAGAUUUCCUCUACUACACCUCCUGAAGUUACUUGAAAGAAUUUAAUAUUCUUACUUCCUCCUAGAUGGCAGCAGAGGGGCAGUUGACAGAAUGGUGUCUGACAUGGAAAGGCGGAUGAAGCAAAGGUGUGUCAUUGAACUCCUCCAUGCAGAAAAACAGUGGUACCUAUUGAUUUUCACUGACACUUGCUGAACAUUUAUGGAGACCAAACAGUGGAUGUGCACACAGAGAGGCGGUGUGAGGUAUAUUUCAGCAGUGGCGACAGCAAUAUGGAGGACAAGCCAUAUUCUGGAUGGCCACACACAGCUGUCAUGCCAGGAAAUGAAAAGCAUCUCAAUCAGCUCACCUGUGCAGAUUGGUGGAUUAUGACCAGGGAACUGUGUACAGAGCUAAAUACUGGCAUCAAUGCAUUGGAAAUGAUGGUGGAAACACUGAAAUAUCACAAAAUUUGCAUCAGGUAGGUUCCACAAAAGCUCAUGCAGGAACCAAAAGAAAACUGUAUGCAAGUUUGUCAGGACCUAUUGAAUCAAUAUGAGGCUGAAGGUAACAGUUUCCUGCAUCACAUCAUUAUUGGUGACAAGAUGUGGUGUCACCACUAUGAGCCAGAGUCAAGACAGCAGUCUACAGGGAAUUUACAUGCUGCUACUCCAUCAAAGAAAAAAGUUCAAGACGCAGCCCCCAGAAGGUAAAGUGAUUCACACUGUCUUAUGGGAUAGGAAAGGGAUAAUCCUACUGGAUUUCCUGGAACCCAGACAAACCACCAACUUUGACCGCUACAUCAUGACACUGACUAAACUGAAGGCUUGAACUUCCAGGGUCAGACCAGAGAAGACAACAACCUUUCUCUUGCAACACUAACACCAGGCCCCAUGCCAGUUUGAAGACUGUGGAGCAUACUUCCAGUAUUUGUUGGACCAUCCUAACACAUCUACCAUAUACUCCAGAUUUGGCACCUUCUGACUUCCAUUUGUUUCAACCAAUGAAAGAUGGACUGCAUGGGAAAUGUUUUCCUAGCAACAACACAUCAUAGCAGCUAUGAAACACUCGGUCACCUCUGCUGUUACAGGCCUUCACAAGCACAGCUUGCAGGAUCUUGCACAGCUAGUGGUGGUGACUAUUUGCUCCAUCAGAUAGUGUUAUUGUGCUCUUGGUAGCUGUUGUGGCUUCCAUAGAACAAAAAAGAAAGCAUUACUUUGAGAGUGACCUAAGUAAAUCAAACCCAGAUGAGAUUCAUAUGGGACUUGCUAAGGUGGAUAAUCCCUCCAACUGCAGUAAGACUCCAAAGAGCAGAUCUUGUCUUCUUAAAAGAGAACUGGACGAAAACAAAAUCAGCUACAUCUCAUAUACCUCAAGGCUAUUUUUAAAGCAAGUUUCUUGGCUCUGCCAGUCUAAGGCUGCUAUAAACUCUCACAAAAAUAAUGGACAACCUCAGCACAUACGAUCUCCUGCCCCACAAGAGUUAACCUCCCCCCCCCCCUCUGGAAAACAGAAAGCAACCUGUUCUCAUAUGUUUUUAAAACAAACGGUCCUAUACAAAUGCCACUACCUUUUGAGAAAGACAUACAGAACAAACACCUAAUGGAUUUUAGUCAUGCUAUUUAGUACACUGUUAGAAGAAGAACAGAUAUUACAGCAAAAAGCUCAUUAUGAAGCCAGUACAGUAUGAAACAUAGUAAAGCACUACCUCUUCAGUAGACAUUUUUGCACUUGGCACUGAACAUGUGAAGCUUAACAAAAUACUACCUUUCAUAGAAUAAAAGUCCUCUUUAUAGAAAUUAUGUCCCUGACAACAGUAUUCAUCAUUUUUCUGAACCAAAGCCUGCAAUUCUGUUGUGAUUUUCAGCUACAUCCACCACACUGACAUCUGGUCACCCAUUGGUCACCCCUUCAGAGUGCUGCAUGCAGCACAGCCAUCUGAACACUAUUGUUCUGAUUAUUGACUUAUGAUUAUGGAGUUCUCCUGUGUUAUUACAUUUUUAUGAGCAAGAGCAAGCCAAAGUGCUAUUUAUAGUUUCAGCUGGCUGGGAGGACAACCAAUUUUGUCAUUACUGACAUUACAGCCCUUCCUUUUGCUUCGGGAUAUCACUAGCUAUGAAAAAGUUGUGAAGAAGCUUUGUCUGUUAGAGAACUAACUUCUGUUUGUCCACCUUCUCAAGAAAUCAGAAUAAGCUGACAUGAGUCCAAUACUGCUUACUGUGGUAUACUAGCAUACUGCCUGAUACUAGAUUUAGUUUUAGGAUUCUGUUCUUCAGCACAGAUCAAGGUCUGGGCCCUGUACAACUCAUGUACUACCUUGCU
ensembl:lncRNA